GACGAACGCUGGCGGCGUGCCUAAUACAUGCAAGUAGAACGCUGAAGGAGGAGCUUGCUUCUCCGGAUGAGUUGCGAACGGGUGAGUAACGCGUAGGUAACCUGCCUGGUAGCGGGGGAUAACUAUUGGAAACGAUAGCUAAUACCGCAUAACAGUAGAUGUUGCAUGACAUUUGCUUAAAAGGUGCAAUUGCAUCCCUACCAGAUGGCCCUGCGUUGUAUUAGCUAGUUGGUGAGGUAACGGCUCACCAAGGCGACGAUACAUAGCCGACCUGAGAGGGUGAUCGGCCACACUGGGACUGAGACACGGCCCAGACUCCUACGGGAGGCAGCAGUAGGGAAUCUUCGGCAAUGGACGGAAGUCUGACCGAGCAACGCCGCGUGAGUGAAGAAGGUUUUCGGAUCGUAAAGCUCUGUUGUAAGAGAAGAACGAGUGUGAGAGUGGAAAGUUCACACUGUGACGGUAUCUUACCAGAAAGGGACGGCUAACUACGUG
rnacentral:rRNA from 1 species